rnacentral:rRNA from 1 species
GACGAACGCUGGCGGCGUGCUUAACACAUGCAAGUCGAACGAUGAAGAAGAGACACGCGCACUUCGGUUCAAAUUUCACUUCGGAUUAGUGGCAGACGGGUGAGUAACGCGUGAGCAACCUACCUCUUACAAAGGGAUAGCCUCGGGAAACCGUGAUUAAUACCAUAUGACACAUUCAUAAGGCAUCUUAAGAAUGUUAAAGCUACGGCGGUAAGAGAUGGGCUCGCGUCCCAUUAGCUAGUUGGUGAGGUAACGGCCCACCAAGGCGACGAUGGGUAACCGGCCUGAGAGGGUGAACGGUCACAUUGGAACUGAGACACGGUCCAAACGCCUACGGGAGGCAGCAGUGGGGAAUAUUGCACAAUGGAGGGAACUCUGAUGCAGCGACGCCGCGUGAGCGAUGAAGGAAUUCGUUUCGUAAAGCUCUGUUCUAUGGGAAGAAAAGGACUGUACCAUAGGAGAAAGCCCCGGCUAAAUACGUG